rnacentral:rRNA from 1 species
AGAACGAACGCUGGCGGCAUGCCUAACACAUGCAAGUCGAACGUGACCUUCGGGUCUAGUGGCGCACGGGUGCGUAACGCGUGGGAAUCUGCCCUUGGGUUCGGAAUAACAGUUGGAAACGACUGCUAAUACCGGAUGAUGACGUAAGUCCAAAGAUUUAUCGCCCAGGGAUGAGCCCGCGUAGGAUUAGCUAGUUGGUGAGGUAAAGGCUCACCAAGGCGACGAUCCUUAGCUGGUCUGAGAGGAUGAUCAGCCACACUGGGACUGAGACACGGCCCAGACUCCUACGGGAGGCAGCAGUGGGGAAUAUUGGACAAUGGGCGAAAGCCUGAUCCAGCAAUGCCGCGUGAGUGAUGAAGGCCUUAGGUUGUAAAGCUCUUUUACCGGGAUGAUAAUGACAGUACCGGAGAAUAAGCUCCGGCUAACUCCGUGCCAGCAGCCGAC